rnacentral:rRNA from 1 species
UACGAAGGGGGCUAGCGUUGCUCGGAAUCACUGGGCGUAAAGCGCACGUAGGCGGCUGUUCAAGUCGAACGUGAAAACUCGGGGCUCAACUCCGAGCCUGCGUUCGAUACUGGAUGGCUAGAGUCUGGUAGGGGGAUCUGGAAUUCCUGGUGUAGCGGUGGAAUGCGUAGAGAUCCGGAAGAACACCGGUGGCGAAGGCGGUUAGCUGGGCAGUUGCUGACACUGGAGGCGCGACAGCGUGGGGAGCAAACAGG